GUCGAGAAUCAUUCGCAAUGGGCGCAAGCCUGACGAUGCGACGCCGCGUGCAGGAUGACGGCCUUCGGGUUGUAAACUGCUGUCAUGAGGGAACAAGAGGCAGGGUGCUAACAUCACCAGGCAUUGAUGGUACCUCAAGAGGAAGCCACGGCCAACUCUGUGCCAGCAGCCGCGGUAAUACAGAGGUGGCGAGCGUUGUUCGGAUUUACUGGGCGUAAAGGGUGCGUAGGCGGUUCCGUAUGUCGGAUGUGAAAGCUCACCGAUCAUCGGUGAAAUGGCAUUCGAAACUGCGGGGCUAGAGUACAGGAGAGGAGAGCGGAAUUCUCGGUGUAGCGGUGAAAUGCGUAGAUAUCGAGAGGAACACCGGUGGCGAAGGCGGCUCUCUGGACUGAUACUGACGCUGAGGCACGAAAGCUGGGGGAGCAAACAGGAUUAGAAACCCCAGUAGUCC
rnacentral:rRNA from 1 species